rnacentral:rRNA from 1 species
AGAGUUUGAUCAUGGCUCAGGACGAACGCUGGCGGCGCGCUUAACACAUGCAAGUCGAGCGAGAACCAGGACUUCGGUCUUGGGGACAGCGGCGAACGGGUGAGUAACACGUGGGUAAUCUGCCCUCGAUUCUGGGAUAGCCCGGGGAAACCCGGAUUAAUACCGGAUAGCCUUUCAGGUUUUCGGGCUUGAAAGAAAAGGUAGCUUCGGCCUCCGAUCGAGGAUGAGCCCGCGGUGGAUUAGCUUGUUGGCGGGGUAAUGGCCCACCAAGGCGACGAUCCAUAGCUGGUCUGAGAGGACGAUCAGCCACACUGGGACUGAGACACGGCCCAGACUCCUACGGGAGGCAGCAGUGGGGAAUCUUGCGCAAUGGGCGAAAGCCUGACGCAGCGACGCCGCGUGGGGGAAGAAGGCCUUAGGGUUGUAAACCUCUUUCAGGUGGGACGAAGCCACUCGGGUUAAUAGCCCAGAGGGUGACGGUACCGCCAGAAGAAGCCCCGGCUAACUACGUGCCAGCAGCCGCGGUAAUACGUAGGGGGCAAGCGUUGUCCGGAUUUAUUGGGCGUAAAGAGCGUGUAGGCGGCCAGGUAGGUCGGUUGUGAAAACUGGAGGCUCAACCUUCAGACGUCGACCGAAACCCCCUGGCUAGAGUCCGGAAGAGGAGAAUGGAAUUCCUGGUGUAGCGGUGAAAUGCGCAGAUAUCAGGAAGAACACCCGUGGCGAAAGCGGUUCUCUGGGACGGUACUGACGCUGAGACGCGAAAGCGUGGGGAGCGAACAGGAUUAGAUACCCUAGUAGUCC